UGGGCUGGGAAUCCCUGCUGCUAAGGAUCUGAAAAGUGGGGUAACUUGAACGGGUGAGCUGAACUCUGCACUUAAUGAGGCAGAAACAGCUAAAUCUUUGUUUGCUUGCUCAUCAAAAGAUGGAAAUAUCUCCCCUGCAAUGCAUUUUGAUUCAUCAACCAAGGUAAUUUUGUGGGUUUAUCCUCUACAUAAAUAAGAAAAACUGUACAUCUUAGGCCAUUUUAUGAGAUAAGAAAAUUUAUUACCUCGAGUUAUGUUUGCACAGGAAAUAAUUUCUUUCUCACACUCAUCCACAUUACUUUGCUUUUUAAUAUGAACUGAAUGUAAUUCAUUUGGAAUGUCCUCUUGCAGUGCACCAAUCUCAGCCUGAGUUUGCUCUGUUUUAUCAGCAGCUGUAUAAGGUAUUAGAGUUGAUCCUGUACUGUAU
rnacentral:misc_RNA from 1 species